UGGUGGAGUGAUUUGUCUGGUUAAUUCCGAUAACGAACGAGACCUUAACCUGCUAACUAGUUUUGUUUAGAUUCCUAGGCAAAACUUCUUAGAGGGACUAACUACACUAGUGGUUGGAAGUUUGAGGCAAUAACA
rnacentral:rRNA from 1 species